GUAAUACUCCCUCCGUCCGGAAAUAUUUGUCCUAAAAAUGAAUAUAAUGNNUGUGUCUAUAACUAAAAUAAGUCUAGAUAUUUAGGACAAGUAUUUCUGAACGGAGGGAGUACUUU
rfam:Hordeum vulgare subsp. vulgare, WGS project CAJW01000000 data, contig: morex_contig_6514